rnacentral:rRNA from 1 species
GACGAACGCUGGCGGCGUGCCUAACACAUGCAAGUCGAACGGAAAGGCCCUGCUUUUGUGUGGUUCUCGCGUGGCGAACGGGUGAGAAACCCGUGAGUAACCUGCCCUUGACUUUGUGAUAUCUUCAGGAAACUGCGGCUAAUACCUGCUAGGAGCUCCUGCUGCUUGGUGGGGGUUGGAAAGUUUCGGUGGUUGGGGAUAGACUGGCGGGUUAUUAGCUUGUUGGUGGGGUAGUGGCUUACCAAGGCUUUGACGGGUAGCCGGCACGGGAGGGUGAACAGCGACAUGGGGACUGAGAGACGGACCAGACGCGUACGGGAGGCAGCAGUGGGGAAUAUUGCACAAUGGGCGGAAGCCUGAUGCAGCAACGCCGCGUGCGGGAUGACGGCCUUCGGGUUGUAAACCGCUUUCACCUGUGACGAAGCGUGAGUGACGGUAAUGGGUAAAGAAGCACCGGCUAACUACGUG